GUACCCUGGUAGUCCACGCUGUAAACGAUGUCGACUUGGAGGUUGUGCCCUUGAGGCGUGGCUUCCGGAGCUAACGCGUUAAGUCGACCGCCUGGGGAGUACGGCCGCAAGGUUAAAACUCAAAUGAAUUGACGGGGGCCCGCACAAGCGGUGGAGCAUGUGGUUUAAUUCGAUGCAACGCGAAGAACCUUACCUACUCUUGACAUCCACGGAAUUCGCCAGAGAUGGCUUAGUGCCUUCGGGAACCGUGAGACAGGUGCUGCAUGGCUGUCGUCAGCUCGUGUUGUGAAAUGUUGGGUUAAGUCCCGCAACGAGCGCAACCCUUAUCCUUUGUUGCCAGCACGUAAUGGUGGGAACUCAAAGGAGACUGCCGGUGAUAAACCGGAGGAAGGUGGGGAUGACGUCAAGUCAUCAUGGCCCUUACGAGUAGGGCUACACACGUGCUACAAUGGCAUAUACAAAGAGAAGCGAACUCGCGAGAGCAAGCGGACCUCAUAAAGUAUGUCGUAGUCCGGAUUGGAGUCUGCAACUCGACUCCAUGAAGUCGGAAUCGCUAGUAAUCGUAGAUCAGAAUGCUACGGUGAAUACGUUCCCGGGCCUUGUACACACCGCCCGUCACACCAUGGGAGUGGGUUGCAAAAGAAGUAGGUAGCUUAACCUU
rnacentral:rRNA from 1 species